UUGAGGGAGUCGAUGAAGGUGGAACCAGCCUUGCGCGCGUCGGCGGACUUGAUGCCGAAGAUAACCAUACCGCCACCCUUGCCCUUGAUGUACUUGACGUUCUUGGCGUACUCGGGAUCGUCCUUGAGGCCGGGGUACCUGACCCAGGCGACCUUGGGGUGUGCCUUGAGGUGCUCAGCGACCUUGAGGGAGUUCUCGCAGUGGCGAUCCAUGCGAAGAGACAGGGUCUCGAUGCCCUGGAGGAACAUCCACGCGUUAUCGGGGGACUGGGCGGCUCCGAUGUUGCGAAGCGCGACGGUGAGCAUGCGGAGCUUGUACGCGAGGGGCGCGAGCGUCUCGGGGAGGUCGUGGCCCCAUCGGAGACCGCCGUAGGAGGUGUCCGGAGUGUCGAAGAGCGGGUGCCUGCCGGUGGCCCAGUUGAAACCACCUUCAAGUGCGGAAAUGGAUCAUCGGAAGGUCAGCAAGAGAAUCAGUACAGGUAUUGGAGACAAAAGGGAAGGAGAUAACCGUGCCGAAAAGAUGAUGGGGGUUGCCCUGAGACGUACCUUUCUCGAUGCACAUGCCGCCGACGCCGGUGCCGUGGCCGCCGAGCCACUUGGUGAGGGAGGUGACGAUGAUAUCCGCGCCGAAGUCGAAGCACUUGGUCAGGUACGGGGUAGAGAAGGUGCUGUCCACGAUGAGGGGCAUGUUGUAGUCGUGGGCAACC
rnacentral:lncRNA from 1 species